AGCAACAUGCUCUGGUAACCUUCCAUGGUGUGGAAGCUUUGUUCUUUUGCUCUUCACAGUAAGUCUUGCUGCUGCUCACUCUUUGGGUCCUCACUACCUCUAUGACCUGUAACACUCACUGCAAAGUUCUGCUGCUUCACUCCUGAAGUCAGUGAGACCACGAACCCACCAGAAGGAAGAAACUCUGAACACAUCUGAGCAUCUGAAGGAACAAACUCCGGACACACCAUCUUUAAGAACUGUAACACUCACCGUGUGGCUAUUUUCAUUCUUGAAGUCAGCGAGACCAAGAACCUACAGGAAGGAAUAAAUUCCGGACACAGUAAGUUCAGUUUCAAGAACGCAUCAUGCCAUUAGAGCUUAGAUCACAGGAGUGAUGAAUGUCCACCAUAGGCUUCUACUCAGGUAAUGCAGUAGUGGGAACUUCAGGCUACUCUCCAAACUUGAUUCCAGGCCUGUCAGAAUUAGAGGACUCUCCUGUAGCAAGGAUUGCUGGCAUUUGAGGUAAUAAUGAGGACUGCAGGAGAUCUCUAGCUUACUUUCCUCCAUAGGAAAAAGUUUACCCUGAUUUUGAGCCAAUCCAAGCAGAGGAGAUAGUGUAGCAGAGACAAAACGACUUUCUUGCUUCUCCCUUGUGCUAUCAUGGAUGUCUAGGUUCCACAGGGAUUUUGCUGCUUUCCUUGUGCUCUGUAGCAUACUGCCUCAGUAAC
rnacentral:lncRNA from 1 species